ensembl:lncRNA
AUGAGGAGUUUGGGGUGGGAAUCCCAGAAACAGGGAAUUUGGGGUGAGGGAUCUCAAAACAAGGGAAUUUGGGAAGAGAAAUCCCAAGAAUGGGGAAUUUGGGGUGGGGACCAGGAAUUUGGGAUGGGAUUUCCCAAGAACAGGGAAUUUGGGAUGGAAGAUCCUGGGAACGGGGAAUUUGGAAAGGGAAUCUCAAGAACAGGGAAUUUGGGGUUGGGGAAUCCCAGGAAUUUGGGAAUUCGGGGUGGGGAAUCCCAAACCCAGGGAAUUUGGGGUGAGGACAGAUAUUGGAUGGGAUGGGAUCUCCCAAGAACAGGGAAUUUGGGAUGGGGGAUCCCAGGAAUUUGUGGAUUUGGGGUGAGGGAUCCCAAACCCAGGAAAUUUGGGGGCGGGGGACAACAAGAAGAGGGAAUUCAGGGUGGGGGAUCCCAAACCCGGGGAAUUUGUGGAUUUGGGGUGGGGGGAUCCCCAAACCCACCGGAAGUGGAAGGUCCCCUCCUUCUGGCCGAAGCCGCUGCCCGGCACCACGCAGAUCCCCGUCUCCUCCAGGAGCCGCAUGCAGAAGAACAUGUCCGGGGCCUGCUUCUUCUCCUGGGCGGCCGCCAGGGCGCGGGGCGGGAGGUCGAUGCGGGGGAAGGAGUACAUGGCGCCCUGCACGGGGUUGCAGUGGAUCCCCGGCGUCUGGUUGAAAAUCUCCUGCGUCAGCCGCGCCUUCUCGGCCAGCGCGCCCAGCACCGCCUCCUUCUCCUGAAAACAGACGGGAAUCGUGUUCCAGUUCAUCCCAGCUCAUCCCAGUUCACCCCAGUUCAUCCCAAUCCCAUCCCCAAUCCCAUCCCCAAUCCCAUCCCCAAUCCCAUCCCACCAGCGCGCCCAGCACCGCCUCCUUCUCCUGAAAACAGACGGGAAUCGUGUUCCAGUUCAUCCCAGCUCAUCCCAGUUCACCCCAGUUCAUCCCAAUCCCAUCCCCAAUCCCAUCCCCCCAGCGCGCCCAGCACCGCCUCCUUCUCCUGAAAACAGACGGGAAUCGUGUUCCAGUUCAUCCCAGCUCAUCCCAGUUCACCCCAGUUCAUCCCAAUCCCAUCCCCAAUCCCAUCCCCCCAGCGCGCCCAGCACCGCCUCCUUCUCCUGAAAACAGACGGGAAUCGUGUUCCAGUUCAUCCCAGCUCAUCCCAGUUCACCCCAGUUCAUCCCAAUCCCAUCCCCAAUCCCAUCCCCCCAGCGCGCCCAGCACCGCCUCCUUCUCCUGAAAACAGACGGGAAUCGUGUUCCAGUUCAUCCCAGCUCAUCCCAGUUCACCCCAGUUCAUCCCAAUCCCAUCCCCAAUCCCAUCCCCCCAGCGCGCCCAGCACCGCCUCCUUCUCCUGAAAACAGACGGGAAUCGUGUUCCAGUUCAUCCCAGCUCAUCCCAGUUCACCCCAGUUCAUCCCAAUCCCAUCCCCAAUCCCAUCCCCCCAGCGCGCCCAGCACCGCCUCCUUCUCCUGAAAACAGACGGGAAUCGUGUUCCAGUUCAUCCCAGCUCAUCCCAGUUCACCCCAGUUCAUCCCAAUCCCAUCCCCAAUCCCAUCCCCCCAGCGCGCCCAGCACCGCCUCCUUCUCCUGAAAACAGACGGGAAUCGUGUUCCAGUUCAUCCCAGCUCAUCCCAGUUCACCCCAGUUCAUCCCAAUCCCAUCCCCAAUCCCAUCCCCCCAGCGCGCCCAGCACCGCCUCCUUCUCCUGAAAACAGACGGGAAUCGUGUUCCAGUUCAUCCCAGCUCAUCCCAGUUCACCCCAGUUCAUCCCAAUCCCAUCCCCAAUCCCAUCCCCCCAGCGCGCCCAGCACCGCCUCCUUCUCCUGAAAACAGACGGGAAUCGUGUUCCAGUUCAUCCCAGCUCAUCCCAGUUCACCCCAGUUCAUCCCAAUCCCAUCCCCAAUCCCAUCCCCCCAGCGCGCCCAGCACCGCCUCCUUCUCCUGAAAACAGACGGGAAUCGUGUUCCAGUUCAUCCCAGCUCAUCCCAGUUCACCCCAGUUCAUCCCAAUCCCAUCCCCAAUCCCAUCCCCAAUCCCAUCCCACCAGCGCGCCCAGCACCGCCUCCUUCUCCUGAAAACAGACGGGAAUCGUGUUCCAGUUCAUCCCAGCUCAUCCCAAUCCCAUCCCCAAUCCCAUCCCGCCAGUGUGCCCAGCACGGCCUCCUCCUCCUGAAAAAGGGUGGGAAUUCUGCUCCAAGACAUCCCCAAAUCCCAUCCCAGUUGAACCCAGUUCAUGCCAAUCCUAUCCCACCAGCACUCCCAGCACAGCCUCCUUCUCCUGAAAAUGGAUGGGAAUUGUGUGCUCCAGUUCAUCCCAUCCCAUCCCAUCCCAUCCCAUCCCAUCCCAUCCCAUCCCAUCCCACCCCAUUACCCCAUUACCCCAUUAUCCCAUUAUCCCAUUAUCCCAUUAUCCCAUUAUCCCAUUAUCCCAUUAUCCCAUUAUCCCAUUAUCCCAUUAUCCCAUUAUCCCAUUAUCCCAUUAUCCCAUUAUCCCAUUAUCCCAUUAUCCC